CAGACGGCUCAGUAACACGUAGUCAACCUACCCUAUGGACAAGAAUAAUCUCGGGAAACUGGGCAUAAUUCUUGAUAGAUCAUAAUGCCUGGAAUGGUUUAUGGUUAAAAUGAUUCGUCGCCAUAGGAUGGGACUGCGGCCUAUCAGCUUGUUGGUGAGGUAAUGGCCCACCAAGGCGAUUACAGGUACGGGCUCUGAGAGGAGAAGCCCGGAGAUGGGUACUGAGACACGGACCCAGGCCCUAUGGGGCGCAGCAGGCGAGAAAACUUUGCAAUGUGCGAAAGCACGACAAGGUUAAUCCGAGUGAUUUCUGCUAAAGAAAUCUUUUGCCAGUCAUAAAACCACUGGUGAAUAAGGGGUGGGCAAGUUCUGGUGUCAGCCGCCGCGGUAAAACCAGCACCUCAAGUGGUCAGGAUGAUUAUUGGGCCUAAAGCAUCCGUAGCCGGCUUUGUUAGUUUUCGGUUAAAUCCAUGUGCUCAACGCAUGGGCUGCCGAAAAUACUGCAUAGCUAGGGAGUGGGAGAGGUAGACGGUACUCAGUAGGAAGGGGUAAAAUCCUUUGAUCUAUUGAUGACCACCUGUGGCGAAGGCGGUCUACCAGAACACGUUCGACGGUGAGGGAUGAAAGCUGGGGGAGCAAACCGGAUUAGAUACCCGGGUAGUCCCAGCUGUAAACGAUGCAGACUCGAUGAUGCAUUGGCAUAAUAGCCAGUGCAGUGUCGCAGGGAAGCCGUUAAGUCUGCCGCCUGGGAAGUACGUACGCAAGUAUGAAACUUAAAGGAAUUGGCGGGGGAGCACACAAGGGGUGAAGCCUGCGGUUCAAUUG
rnacentral:rRNA from 1 species